AAUCAACGCUGGCGGCGUGCCUCAGACAUGCAAGUCGAACGCGAAAUUUCCCUUCGGGGAGAAAGUAGAGUGGCGCACGGGUGAGUAACACGUAGGUAAUUUGCCUUUGGGUGGGGAAUAACUCAGGGAAACUUGAGCUAAUACCGCAUAAUGCAGCGGCUCGACAUCGAGACAGUUGUUAAAGCGGGGGAUUGGAGCAAUCCGACCUCGCGCCUAAAGAGAAGCCUGCGGCAGAUUAGCUAGUUGGUAAGGUAAUGGCUUACCAAGGCGACGAUCUGUAACCGGCCUGAGAGGGCGGUCGGUCACACUGACACUGACAUACGGGUCAGACUCCUACGGGAGGCAGCAGUCGGGAAUUUUGGGCAAUGGGCGCAAGCCUGACCCAGCAACGCCGCGUGAAGGAUGAAAUUUUUCGGAAUGUAAACUUCGCAAGAACAGGAAG
rnacentral:rRNA from 1 species